AUUGAACGCUGGCGGCAUGCUUUACACAUGCAAGUCGAACGGCAGCGCGGGCUUCGGCCUGGCGGCGAGUGGCGAACGGGUGAGUAAUGCAUCGGAACGUGCCCAGUAGUGGGGGAUAGCCCGGCGAAAGCCGGAUUAAUACCGCAUACGACCUGAGGGUGAAAGCGGGGGACCGAAAGGCCUCGCGCUAUUGGAGCGGCCGAUGUCGGAUUAGCUAGUUGGUGGGGUAAAGGCUUAUCAAGGCGACGAUCAGUAGCUGGUCUGAGCGGACGACCAGCCACACUGGGACUGAGACACGGCCCAGACUCCUACGGGAGGCAGCAGUGGGGAAUUUUGGACAAUGGGGGCAACCCUGAUCCAGCCAUGCCGCGUGCGGGAAGAAGGCCUUCGGGUUGUAAACCGCUUUUGUUCGGGAAGAAAUCCUCUGGGCUAAUACCCCGGGGGGAUGACGGUACCGGAAGAAUAGGCACCGGCUAACUACGUG
rnacentral:rRNA from 1 species